rnacentral:rRNA from 1 species
GACGAACGCUGGCGGCGUGCUUAACACAUGCAAGUCGAACGGAAAGGCCCUGCUUUUGUGGGGUGCUCGAGUGGCGAACGGGUGAGUAUCACGUGAGUAACCUGCCCUUGACUUUGGGAUAACUUCAGGAAACUGGGGCUAAUCCCGGAUAGGAGCUCCUGCUGCAUGGUGGGGGUUGGAAAGUUUCGGCGGUUGGGGAUGGACUCGCGGCUUAUCAGCUUGUUGGUGGGGUAGUGGCUUACCAAGGCUUUGACGGGUAGCCGGCCUGAGAGGGUGACCGGCCACAUUGGGACUGAGAUACGGCCCAGACUCCUACGGGAGGCAGCAGUGGGGAAUAUUGCACAAUGGGCGGAAGCCUGAUGCAGCAACGCCGCGUGCGGGAUGACGGCCUUCGGGUUGUAAACCGCUUUCGCCUGUGACGAAGCGUGAGUGACGGUAAUGGGUAAAGAAGCACCGGCUAACUACGUG